rnacentral:rRNA from 1 species
AGAGUUAAACAGUACGUGAAAUUGUUGAAAGGGAAACGAUUGAAGCCAGUCGUACCGGUGGGUAAUCAGCCUUUUGGGCGUGAUUAUGUGGAGCGUGAGGAGCUAAACACCUUCAUGCCUGCGUAUUCGUGCACUUUGGGUGUACUUGCCCGCAUGGUUGGUUAACAUCAAUUUCGGAAGCCAUAAAAUGGUUGGAGGAAUGUGGCUUCGACCUCGGUUGAAGUGUUAUAGCCUUCAGCAGAUGUGGUGAUCGAGAUUGAGGAUUGCAACGGAUACCCUUCGGGGCUACCUGUCUGAUCUCUGAUCGUUACUCUGGUGCCGAAAGCGUGCUUACGGUCAUCAAAGUUGAUGGUCAACAGGUUAGAAUGGGUUAAAUUCGUUAAGGAUGUUGACGUAAUGGCUUUAAACGACC